rnacentral:tRNA from 4 species
GCUCACGUGGCGGAACUGGUAGACGCGUGCGCUUGAGGGGCGUAUGGCCUAACGGCCGUGGAGGUUCGAUUCCUCUCGUGAGCA